AGAAGGUCUCUUUCCUCAUGGUCUUUAUGGUCAUGGGAGCUCAUCUCCUCUUUUGUGGGACCUACCAGGAGAGGAGCCAGCAGGACCUACAAUGCAGGUUGGCUACAGUGACUCAUGGGCUGCCUAAACCAUGCUGCCUGUUGAGGUCCAUCAAAAACCAGUCCUACAGCCGUGUCCCCUGCAUCAGCCCUGGAAAAAUCCAGAAGAAAUGAGAAAGCAGAGCCUCUCUGCAAACCAAGUGCAGCCGGGCCUCCGAGGUGCUUUGUGCAGCGCAGGAGUGGGCUCUUCUCCAGGGAGCCUCAAUCCAAGGCGAUAAGGCAGACAAAGCAAGCACGGAGAAAAACAGGCUCUUGGCGGAGAAAUGACAAGCCACAUGCAACGGGACACAGGAGACACCCACUCCCUGCCCCAUGUGUUGCACCGUGAUGAAUAACCAACCUCCUCCGUGCAGCGAGACACCUGGACCUGGUGCUGUUCCCUUGGGUGAGGAGCAGAGGGUCACAUCCUGGUGCCCAUCAGCUGCGACUUGAAAUAAAAUGUCCCAGAACUGAAUAGCAUGAAACUGUUUAUCGUGCCUGUGAAAACGUUGGGACAGGCAGGCAAGAGUGUGGAGCAAUCAUUUGCACAAGCAUCAAGGGCCAAGAAGUUUCAGCCAGAGCUGGCUAAGGUUCACUGGCAGGGCUACAGUUUAGCGCAGGUGGAUUCUGUGUUCUGUCUCCAUACAUCUCUUCCAGCUGUCAUUUUAAAAAGACAAAUACUGAGUGCAGUUCUGAGGAGAGAUGUGUACGUCCUGUGCUGCUGCACGCCAGCUGGGCUGCAGGAAGGCUCUUCUCUUUGGGCUUUCCUGAGGCUGCAGGUCCCUGAAGAGCUCCCUCCGUUGUGCUUCUCACCACCAAAGGCAGUCACGGCCAUGGGUGUUUCCAUAAAAGCUUGGGAUAGCCACAUUAAGGAAGAUGGCCUGGAAAAAAAAAAAAAAAAAAGAAAAAAAAAAAGAAAAAAAAAAAGAAAAUUAUACUGAGCAUACCUAAAAGCACUACCCUGGGGCAAAAGUGUGAAGUCACUGCAGAAAUGAGGGAGUUGCAGACAGGAGGACCCCCGUACUAAUCCAGUCCCUGGGAAGGGACAAGGCAAGGGCAGGCGGGGGCAGAGGCUGCACGCCCAGAGGUGCCACCCUGCUUUUUUGGAGCUUUCUGCCUUUUUGGAGGCUCGCUGGGGAACGAAAAUCUUCCAUCUCCUGCUGCCACAGACAAGGCUGGGUGCUGGCCCAAAUGUGGGUCAAGAGUGACACCCUGUGGACAACUUACUCUUUUUCUCGUCCUCCAGGAUUUUCUCUCCUGCUGCUUUCUUUUCUUUUCCUUUUUAUUUAUUUAUUUAUUCCUCCUUCCCCCUUGUCCCCCCCCCUGCUUUGCUUACACAAACACUGCAAGCACCCGGUUUGCACAGGGGUUGUUGCUGCAAGCUCAGCCAGCCCAGGCAAGCUGGGAGCAGCAUUUUUCCCCCCUGAAAAGUGAGGGGCUAUGUAAAGAGCCCCAGAUCUCCCUUCUGUUCCUUUUUUGGGUUGUCCCCAGUUUGCACUUGGUUUCAUCGGUAUCUCUCAGGGCCUGGCCAUCACUCCUGACCCCCAUCAGUGCCUCUGCUUUCCCUCUGCUUUUCAGCUCACCCCAGCUCUUCUGUCGUGCAGCUCAUCAGCUGGAGCACGGUGAGCUCCUGGGGCUCAUAAAUCUAGCUGCUGCUCACAAAAUUUGGCGAGUAUGACCCCAGGCUGUCUGUUAAACUGGGAGAGAAAUUGCACGGGCUUCCCUGCAGUCACCCCCCUGCCCUCCCCAAGCUGCCCUGGGUGAGGAUUCCUGCCUGAACAGAAAAACUCAUGAAAAAAAAAAAAAAAAAAAGGGGUUUUAUAGAGACUGCUUCUCCUCUGGUCACCAUAAUGGUCCCUUCCUAAUCUCAGACCUGCUGGGGGGUAGGACCAUGCUGUCCUGAUGCUCCUGGCAUUAUCCCCAGUGAGCAAGAUCUGAUGUCCCAGAACAGGGUGAUCGACACCAGCUGACAACCUGGACACCCCGUCUCCACAAAAUAAAAUAAAUAAAUAAAGUACAGUUUUAUUUUAAGCAACAAAUAAUUCCGUUUUAUACUGGUGAGAAAUUCCUCAUCACUCAUUUAAUUAUGCGGGCCUAAAAGAAACCAUAAUGUUCUGGCAUGCCUGUGUGCUGGGAGUGGGAAAGAGGGGGGUGUCAGAGCCCUUCCAAAAGUUUAUGUCCUUUCUUACCCCUGGCAGUUUAACCCUGCCAAAUCUGCACAAACCUAUAUAUAUCCGAAAGCCAAGGCUGGAAGGAGAUUCCUUAAAACCCGCAAAAGAAGCGAAUAUAAGGGCAGUAAUUUUUUCCAAUGACAUUUAUAUGCUGUCAUUAACUCUGCUUUAGCUGGUACAGUUUAAAGCUUUCAGAGAAUGUAACUUCAGCUGCACCAACUACCACAUGUUUUUGCUGACAGGAGCUGCGGGGUUUGCCUGGUCAGCCCACAUAGACUCUCUGCCUUUUCCAUAGUGUGCAAAAGCUCGACGAGGAAUAGGUCUUGUUGAGCAAAAAGUCAUUUUUGCUGUUAUUAUGCAAUUUUCAGCAA